GACGAACGCUGGCGGCGUGCUUAACACAUGCAAGUCGAACGGAAAGGCCCUGCUUUUGUGGGGUGCUCGAGUGGCGAACGGGUGAGUAACACGUGAGUAACCUGCCCUUGACUUUGGGAUAACUUCAGGAAACUGGGGCUAAUACCGGAUAGGAGCUCCUGCUGCAUGGUGGGGGUUGGAAAGUUUCGGCGGUUGGGGAUGGACUCGCGGCUUAUCAGCUUGUUGGUGGGGUAGUGGCUUACCAAGGCUUUGACGGGUAGCCGGCCUGAGAGGGUGACAGGCAAAAUUGGGACUGGGAUACGGCCCAGACUCCUACGGGAGGCAGCAGUGGGGAAGAUUGCACAAUGGGCGGAAGCCUGAUGCAGCAACGCAGCGUGCGGGAUGACGGCCUUCGGGUUGUAAACCGCUUUCGCCUGUGACGAAGCGUGAGUGACGGUAACGGGUAAAGAAGCACCGGCUAACUACGUG
rnacentral:rRNA from 1 species